rnacentral:lncRNA from 1 species
UCAUUGGGGCCACAAGCCGGAUGCCUCAUGUCAUUCUACCCCCAUGUCCCUUGGGAAGUUCUGAGACAAGGGCUAGAGGCAGUGUUAACAGGAAUCUCCCUAAGUUUCAGGGAGGUGAGUUCCCAGAGAACUUCUUUAUAAUUCUUUCGCAUUUUCUGCAUUAUGA